AAAAUAGAUGUAAAUGGGCUUUAGUCCAAAUUUAGCAGAAAAAAAACUUUUAUUUCGCACCACAAAGCCAUUAACAUAAACUAGUGAAGAAAUUAGACAUCAUGUCUGAUCGCACUGUUAAAUAUAUUUAAAUAUAUUUUGAAAACACUUGAUGGUCACGCGCUGUACUGGAGUCACCAUGGAAACGGGGCUCAGCUCAACCGUCAAGCAGCUGAACAGACGCUGUCUCUCAUGGUUGUUUUCACUAAUUUCAGUUUAUAGAAAUGGUCAGUGUCUUCAUGAAAAGUCCGUUAGCAUCUCAACUGUAAUGCUAACGACAAGAGAUUCUUCCAUGCUGAUGGCCGUGCCUGUAUCCAGCUGAAGAACAUUUUUAGACAUUAUUAAACAUAUAACUAAGACUGAAAAUCAUUGAUAAACCACAAGCUCCAACCCCAGUUAAGCAGACCUGAGCAGCCGAUCAAGGAUCAGCAGAAACUCUGCAGAACGGUGGUCCUCCAGCCCAGGACUGGACACCAGUGUUAUGCUGCAGAAAAAAGAGCGAGGCUAAAGCAUUCAAAGUGGAAACAUCUGCCGUGGCUCAUUAAUCCAGAAUUGGGAUGGAAGAAGGAGCAGAAGAAGCAGAAGAUCAGAGAUCAGGCAGAGAUCUACUGGUGCCCCUGUGGGAACCCCAUUUACCUAAUGUGUUAGUUUAACCAAAGAUUUUCCUCACUCACCUUUAUGUUGUUCCAAACCAGACUUUUGUUCAUCUUUGAAACAUAAAUGCGGAACUUUUUAAUGAAAUCUGAGAUUAUUUUCUUUAUAUAAAAUAACACAUUCACACAAGCACCAUGAUGCAUCAGUGUUGCAUUGGUGUGAGAGCUGGCGCUUUUGGUGCUUUUGUGAAAAUCCAUUGGGGAGUCAUAAUUUCUGAAUAGAUUAUUUUUGCUGUUGUUAUUGUUUGUUUGUUUGUUUUUGUACACAAGGCAUCUGUUAAAAAAAUAUCUUAAUUUGUGUUCUGCACAAAAGGGUGUUAUGGGUUUGGGGCAACAUGAGGGUAAGUAAUUAAUGACAGAAUUAAAAUUUUUGGUUGUUCUAAUGUGGUUAUAAUUGGUCAUAGUUUAUUUGUCUUGAAAAAAUAUAUUUAUACAGAAACAUGGAUUAAUUUGAUAAGUUUAUAGUAAAGCCUUUUAAAUUGAUUAAAAAAAAAAUCUAAAUAAAUACUACUCUUUUGCAAGGUCUAUUCAAAAAAUAUGGACAAAUGUAAUGGUUUCCACAAAAUAUUUGGCAGCACAACGGUUUUAAACUGAUAAUAAUCAGAAAUGUUUCUUGAGAAGCAAAUCAGUAUAUUAUAAUGAUUUCUGAAGAUCAUGUAAUACUGAAGACUGAAGUAAUUGUGUUAAAAAUUUCAGUUUACAGGCAUAAAUUACAUUCUACAAUGCAUCCACAUAGAAAACAAUUAUUUCUGUAGUUAUAUUUCACAAUAUUACAGUUUUUACGGUCUGUUUAAUCAAAAGAAGCUUAAGAUGUGAUCAAGAUUUUACAUGAAAGAUGUAAUGUGUCAAUAAAUGUGUCAAUAUACUGUGAA